AGAAAGGAAGAGGACAGGAAGAAGAGAGGAAGGGAAGAAGCCUCGCAGAGGCCGAGUGGCCAGGCUGGGGCCGCGGAGAGGGCAAGCGACAGCAGCCACCGCCCACGCCCGUCACAGUCUGCCCUGCUCCUGCCGCCCCUCUGCCCGUCAUGGAAGUCGUGUGGAGCAGGGGACGUCUCUGGGCAGGGACCAUCCCCAGCGCUGUAGGGACGUAAAGCAGCGAGAGAGGAGGGCUCCGAGGGCACAGACACACGGAGGGCGGACUUUCAGCCCGUCCUGCAGUGAAGGAGUGGACCUUCGGGACAGGCGGCACUCAGGCUGAGAAUGGCACUGCCCUCUGAGAAGUGGUUAUUCUCCAUGCUUCACGCCAAUCUCCUCAGCCAGCACUUCUCCUGAUCCGAGAUGCCCAUUCUGCUCUCCAAGUUUUUCUCCAGCAGUGAGCUCCUCAGCUUCCUAGACCUGAACCUGCCGAGAAUCCUCACCAGGGCCCAGGAGUAACUCCUCACCUCCCCACUUCUCUUCCCGCCUAACAAAUGACCAAAGAGGAGCCAGCUGAUCCCACACCACCUGAGGAACCUAACCCUCUGGGAACUCGCAUGCCUUUCAAAAAUCCCCACCCCAGUCCCUCUUUGCAUUUACACUGAUGCAAACCUGCCUGGAGUCCUAAUUUAGCUCUGUACCUCAGUUUUCCCAUCUGUAAGACAGAGAGGGAGUAAAAGGCAGAAAGAAGGUACUUUCUGGGCUCAUCUUGUGAUGCAUUCCUCAUGGUCAGUCACCACACCCUGUGUGUGUGUCCAUGCACGACGGGGUAGAACAGGCACAAAGCUCCUAAGCGAGGAAGGAGCAGGUCUGUUCAAGAAUUAAGAAACAGUGCAGCUUAGUUUAGCAUUUUACUCAUUCUGUCUGCUGACAAGUGCUCAUCAACUAUCAGGUGCCGGCCAUGACCACAACAAAGAUGAACAGGACGCUAUAGUAGCUGUGAAGACAGCCUGGAAAACAAACAGCAGGUCAUAAGUGCUCUAAUUCAGCCAUGAAUCCAGUGCUAGGGGACACUGAGGAAGGAGUGAGUGAUAAACCCCUUCUGGGGUCAGGGGAGUCAGGAACAGCUCUCCGCAGAAACUGUACCUCCCUGCCAGUCCCAGGGAGACAGGACAGGGAGAGCACCCCAGGCAGAAGGGACAGUUGAACAAAGGUGUGUAGGGGAAGGGCAAGUGGUUUGGGCAA